UACGUAGGGUGCAAGCGUUGUCCGGAAUUAUUGGGCGUAAAGAGCUCGUAGGCGGUCUGUCGCGUCUGCUGUGAAAACUCAGGGCUUAACCCUGAGCUUGCAGUGGGUACGGGCAGACUAGAGUGCGGUAGGGGAGACUGGAAUUCCUGGUGUAGCGGUGAAAUGCGCAGAUAUCAGGAGGAACACCGGUGGCGAAGGCGGUUCUCUGGGCAUUAC
rnacentral:rRNA from 1 species